rnacentral:lncRNA from 1 species
UCCCAAACUAUUUUUUUCAUUUUUCUAUUCGAUAACAAUUCGACCGUACACCCUUCUAUCACUCACCGAACCAACUUGCUAGCCCCUACAAUAUACUGUACGUAUACUCCUACACUUGGCACGCGAUCAGAUCCCUGCUUAAGCCGACACCUCAACUGACGAGACAUCCAUUGCUUGCUUGCUUGCAACACUUGUUUGCCAAAAUUUGAUUGCUCAAAACAAGUUCCACGUACUCCCGUGAUCGUUGACACUUUCCUUAAUUUCUGCAGUUUAUUUCGGCCUGAACCACAUGUGACAUAUACCAUGUAUCCGCGAUGCCCGCACCACAAGAGAUGAGAGAUUCUAAUUACUUGAUCAUUGUACAUGUGACUACUUACAGUCGAGUUAGCCAUAUUAAGUUAACUCAAAUUUGCG